rnacentral:tRNA from 1 species
CGGCACGUAGCGCAGCCUGGUAGCGCACCGUCAUGGGGUGUCGGGGGUCGGAGGUUCAAAUCCUCUCGUGCAA